rnacentral:rRNA from 1 species
CCUACGGGAGGCAGCAGUGGGGAAUAUUGCGCAAUGGGCGAAAGCCUGACGCAGCGACGCCGCGUGAGGGAUGAAGGUCUUCGGAUCGUAAACCCCUGUCAGCAGGGAAGAACGGUCACUGUGCUAAUCAGCAGUGAAUUGACGGUACCUGCAAAGGAAGCACCGGCUAACUCCGUGCCAGCAGCAGCGGUAAUACGGAGGGUGCGAGCGUUAAUCGGAAUUACUGGGCGUAAAGCGCUCGUAGGCGGUAGGUCAAGGCAAGGGUGAAAUCCCCGCGCUCCACGUUGGCACUGCCUUUGAAACUGGCAAACGUGAGUGUGUGAGAGGAUAGUGGAAGUCCAGGUGUAGGAGUGAAAUCCGUAGAUAUCUGGAGGAACAUCAGUGGCGAAGGCGACUAUCUGGCACAUAACUGACGCUGAGGAGCGAAAGCGUGGGUAGCAAACAGGAUUAGAUACCCUUGUAGUC